rnacentral:rRNA from 1 species
CUCCCGCCGGCGACUGGCGCACGGGUGAGUAACACGUAUGAAACCUGCCCGUAGCAGGGGGAUAAGCGGAAGAAAUUCCGUCUAAUACCGCGUAACAACCCGAGGAGGCAUCUCCUCGGGUUUAAAGGAAGCGAUUCCGGCUACGGAUGGUCAUGCGUCGCAUUAGCUAGUUGGCGGGGUAACGGCCCACCAAGGCGACGACGCGUAGGGGUUCUGAGAGGAAGGUCCCCCACACUGGUACUGAGACACGGACCAGACUCCUACGGAAGGCAGCAG